AUACGGAGGAUCCGAGCGUUAUCCGGAUUUAUUGGGUUUAAAGGGUGCGCAGGCGGCCAUUUAAGUCAGCGGUUAAAUCGUGGGGCUCAACCCCAUUCUGCCGUUGAUACUGGGUGGCUUGAUUGCGGUCGAGGUUGGCGGAAUUCGUUGUGUAGCGGUGAAAUGCAUAGAUAUGACGAAGAACACCGAUUGCGUAGGCAGCUGACCAGACCGCAAAUGACGCUCAUGCACGAAAGUGCGGGGAUCGAACAGGAUUAGAUACCCUGGUAGUCCGCACAGUAAACGAUGAAUACUUGUUUUCGGCGAUAUAAUGUCGGAGGCAAAGCGAAAGCGAUAAGUAUUCCACCUGGGGAGUACGCCGGCAACGGUGAAACUCAAAUUUAUUGACGGGG
rnacentral:rRNA from 1 species